rnacentral:misc_RNA from 1 species
GAUGAAGAACGCAGCGAAAUGCGAUACGUAAUGUGAAUUGCAAAUUCAGUGAAUCAUCGAGUCUUUGAACGCACAUUGCGCCCCCUGGUAUUCCGGGGGGCAUGCCUGUCCGAGCGUCAUUGCUGCCCUCAAGCACGGCUUGUGUGUUGGGCCCCGUCCUCCGAUCCCGGGGGACGGGCCCGAAAGGCAGCGGCGGCACCGCGUCCGGUCCUCGAGCGUAUGGGGCUUUGUCACCCGCUCUGUAGGCCCGGCCGGCGCUUGCCGAUCAACCCAAAUUUUUUAUCCAGGUUGACCUCGGAUCAGGUAGGGAUACCCGCUGAACUUAAGCAUCUCAAUAAGCGGAGGA